rnacentral:rRNA from 1 species
ACNGCUUCCUUAGGGAGGCAGCAGUGGGGAACUUUGGACNUGGGGGCAACCCUGAUCCAGCAAUGCCGCGUGUGUGAAGAAGGCCUUCGGGUUGUAAAGCACUUUUGUCCUGGAAAGAAAACGCCGUGGUUAAUACCCGUGGCGGAUGACGGUACCGGAAGAAUAAGCACCGGCUAACUACGUGCCAGCAGCCGCGGUAA